rnacentral:rRNA from 1 species
CCUACGGGAGGCAGCAGUGAGGAAUAUUGGUCAAUGGACGAGAGUCUGAACCAGCCAAGUAGCGUGAAGGAUGACUGCCCUAUGGGUUGUAAACUUCUUUUAUAUGGGACUAAAAUGUUCCACGUGUGGGAUUUUGUAUGUCCCAUAUGAAUAAGGAUCGGCUAACUCCGUGCCAGCAGCCGCGGUAAUAAGGAGGCUCCGAGCGUUAUCCGGCUUUUUUGGGUUUAAAGGGGGCGUAGGUGGAUUGUUAAGUCAGUUGUGAAAGUUUGCGGCUCAACCCCGGCGAGCCGUUGAAACUGGCGGGCUGGAGUUGGAGAGAGGUACGCGGAAUGCGCGGUGUAGCGGUGAAAUGCUUAGAUAUCGCGCAGAACCCCGAUUGCGAAGGCAGCGUACCGGCUCCACACUGACGCUGAGGCACGAAAGCGUGGGUAUCGAACAGGAUUAGAUACCCCUGUAGUC